CCUACGGGAGGCAGCAGUGGGGAAUAUUGGACAAUGGGCGCAAGCCUGAUCCAGCCAUGCCGCGUGUGUGAAGAAGGCCUUCGGGUUGUAAAGCACUUUUAUCCGGAAAGAAAAGCUUUGGGUUAAUACCCUGAAGUCAUGACGGUACCGGAAGAAUAAGCACCGGCUAACUUCGUGCCAGCAGCCGCGGUAAUACGAAGGGUGCGAGCGUUACUCGGAAUUACUGGGCGUAAAGCGUGCGUAGGUGGUUUGUUAAGUCUGAUGUGAAAGCCCUAGGCUCAACCUGGGAAUUGCAUUGGAUACUGGCAGGCUAGAGUGCGGUAGAGGAUAGUGGAAUUCCCGGUGUAGCAGUGAAAUGCGUAGAGAUCGGGAGGAACAUCUGUGGCGAAGGCGACUAUCUGGGCCAGCACUGACACUGAGGCACGAAAGCGUGGGGAGCAAACAGGAUUAGAUACCCUGGUAGUCCACGCCCUAAACGAUGCGAACUGGAUGUUGGGUGCAACUAGGCACUCAGUAUCGAAGCUAACGCGUUAAGUUCGCCGCCUGGGGAGUCGGUCGCAAGCUGAAACUCAAAGGAUUGACGGCUGAGAGNGCGAGGCGACGACGAGGGAGGAGG
rnacentral:rRNA from 1 species